GACGAACGCUGGCGGCGCGCUUAACACAUGCAAGUCGAACGGAAAGGCCUGCUUUCCCUUGUGGAUUGCGGGUACUCGAGUGGCGAACGGGUGAGUAACACGUGAGUGAUCUGCCCCCAACUUGGGUAUAAGCCUGGGAAACUGGGUCUAAUUCCCGAUAGGACUGCAGGGUGGUGCCUGUGGUGGAAAACGAUUUUCUAGUGGUUGGGGAUGAGCUCGCGGCCUAUCAGCUUGUUGGUGGGGUAAUGGCCUACCAAGGCGGCGACGGGUAGCCGGCCUGGGAGGGUGGACGGCCACAUUGGGACUGAGAUACGGCCCAGACUCCUACGGGAGGCAGCAGUGGGGAAUAAUGCACAAUGGGCGGAAGCCUGAUGCAGCGACGCCGCGGGGGGGAUGACGGCCUUCGGGUUGUAAACUCCUUUCGACCGCGAGGAAGCCACCUGGUUGGAAGGGUGGUGACGGUAGUGGCAGAAGAAGCACCGGCUAACUACGUG
rnacentral:rRNA from 1 species